rnacentral:rRNA from 1 species
UACGGAGGGGGCUAGCGUUGUUCGGAAUUACUGGGCGUAAAGCGCACGUAGGCGGCUUUGUAAGUUAGAGGUGAAAGCCCAGGGCUUAACCCUGGAACUGCCUUUAAGACUGCAAGGCUUGAAUCGCGGAGAGGUGAGUGGAAUUCCGAGUGUAGAGGUGAAAUUCGUAGAUAUUCGGAAGAACACCAGUGGCGAAGGCGGCUCACUGGACGCGUAUUGACGCUGAGGUGCGAAAGCGUGGGGAGCAAACAGG